UACGUAGGGUGCGAGCGUUAAUCGGAAUUACUGGGCGUAAAGGGUGCGCAGGCGGCUCCGCAUGUCGGGCGUGAAAGCCCCGGGCUUAACCCGGGAAUGGCGUCCGAAACUAUGGAGCUGGAGUGUGGCAGAGGGAGGUGGAAUUCCACGUGUAGCGGUGAAAUGCGUAGAGAUGUGGAGGAACACCGAUGGCGAAGGCAGCCUCCGUGGGCCAACACUGACGCUCAUGCACGAAAGCGUGGGGAGCAAACAGG
rnacentral:rRNA from 1 species